rnacentral:rRNA from 1 species
CCUACGGGUGGCAGCAGUGAGGAAUAUUGGUCAAUGGACGAGAGUCUGAACCAGCCAAGUAGCGUGAAGGAUGACUGCCCUAUGGGUUGUAAACUUCUUUUAUAUGGGAAUAAAAUGUUCCACGUGUGGGAUUUUGUCUGUACCAUAUGAAUAAGGAUCGGCUAACUCCGUGCCAGCAGCCGCGGUAAUACGGAGGAUCCGAGCGUUAUCCGGAUUUAUUGGGUUUAAAGGGAGCGUAGGUGGAUUGUUAAGUCAGUUGUGAAAGUUUGCGGCUCAACCGUAAAAUUGCAGUUGAAACUGGCAGUCUUGAGUACAGUAGAGGUGGGCGGAAUUCGUGGUGUAGCGGUGAAAUGCUGAGAUAUCACGAAGAACUCCGAUUGCGAAGGCAGUUCACUGGACUGCAACUGACACUGAGGCUCGAAAGUGUGGGUAUCAAACAGGAUUAGAUACCCCAGUAGUC